UUUAAAUUUUAUCAAAAAAAUAUAACUUUUUUUUGUUUGUUUCUCUUUCGAGACGAGCUCAAUGAUCGGACAUGCAAAUGGAAAAGGAAAGCCAAAGAUAGCAACACACACCAACCACUAUGGGACGCGUUUCAUCUUUGGUUAGAAGACUUUUCAACCAUAUUAGGUGUGAUGGCUUCAAGGGCCGUGCGUUGAAUUUGGAUGGAAUGGAGGAAUGGCUGUUCUCUACGAAAGUGGAAUGGAGAAGUGAGAUUAACUUGUUAGUAUUUUGCACUACAAUUACAAUUUGUGCGGAAAAUGGAAUGAUGGAGUGGAGGAAUGGCGGUCCUUAAGUGGAUGGAGGAAUGGUUGUUAUUUUUUUAUUUUGGGACACUACACCACACUACACGGUUGGACGACGAUUUAAAACAACAAAACAAAACAAAACCACAGAAAACAGAAGACAACAAAAGCCAAUUGAUGCGUUCGUAAGAAGUAAGAACAAGAGCAUUUCCAUUUCGUCUUCAUUUGCAUUUUACCAUUGCAAACGAAACAAAAGAAACGAAAAGCAAAGGAAGGAAAAUUUUAAUAU